GACGAAUGCUGGCUGCGUGCUUAACACAUGCAAGUCGAACGGUGAAGGGGAGCUUGCUCCCCGGAUCAGUGGCGAACGGGUGAGUAGCACGUGGGCAACCUGCCCCUCACUCUGGGAUAACUCCGGGAAACCGGGGCUAAUACCGGAUACGACCGGGAGCGACAUCGCUCCUGGUGGAAAGAACUUCGGUGGGGGAUGGGCCCGCGGCCUAUCAGCUAGUUGGUGGGGUAACGGCCCACCAAGGCGACGACGGGUAGCCGGCCUGAGAGGGCGACCGGCCACGCGAGGACUGAGACACGGCCCAGACUCCGACGGGAGGCAGCAGUGGGGAAUAUUGCGCAAUGGGCGAAAGCCUGACGCAGCGACGCAGCGUGAGGGACGAAGGCCUUCUGGUUGUAAACCUCUUUCAGCGGGGACGAAGCGAAAGUGACGGUACCCGCAGAAGAAGCACCGGCUAACUACUUGCCAGCGGCCGCCGUAA
rnacentral:rRNA from 1 species